AGAGAUUGAACAUAAGAGUUUGAUCCUGGCUCAGAUUGAACGCUGGCGGCAUGCUUUACACAUGCAAGUCGGACGGCAGCACAGGGAAGCUUGCUUCUCGGGUGGCGAGUGGCGAACGGGUGAGUAACAUAUCGGAACGUACCGGGUAGCGGGGGAUAACUGAUCGAAAGAUCAGCUAAUACCGCAUACGUCUUGAGAGGGAAAGCAGGGGACCUUCGGGCCUUGCGCUAUCCGAGCGGCCGAUAUCUGAUUAGCUGGUUGGCGGGGUAAAGGCCCACCAAGGCGACGAUCAGUAGCGGGUCUGAGAGGAUGAUCCGCCACACUGGGACUGAGACACGGCCCAGACUCCUACGGGAGGCAGCAGUGGGGAAUUUUGGACAAUGGGCGCAAGCCUGAUCCAGCCAUGCCGCGUGUCUGAAGAAGGCCUUCGGGUUGUAAAGGACUUUUGUCAGGGAAGAAAAGGCCGUUGCCAAUAUCGGCGGCCGAUGACGGUACCUGAAGAAUAAGCACCGGCUAACUACGUGCCAGCAGCCGCGGUAAUACGUAGGGUGCGAGCGUUAAUCGGAAUUACUGGGCGUAAAGCGGGCGCAGACGGUUACUUAAGCAGGAUGUGAAAUCCCCGGGCUCAACCCGGGAACUGCGUUCUGAACUGGGUGACUCGAGUGUGUCAGAGGGAGGUGGAAUUCCACGUGUAGCAGUGAAAUGCGUAGAGAUGUGGAGGAAUACCGAUGGCGAAGGCAGCCUCCUGGGAUAACACUGACGUUCAUGUCCGAAAGCGUGGGUAGCAAACAGGAUUAGAUACCCUGGUAGUCCACGCCCUAAACGAUGUCAAUUAGCUGUUGGGCAACUUGAUUGCUUGGUAGCGUAGCUAACGCGUGAAAUUGACCGCCUGGGGAGUACGGUCGCAAGAUUAAAACUCAAAGGAAUUGACGGGGACCCGCACAAGCGGUGGAUGAUGUGGAUUAAUUCGAUGCAACGCGAAGAACCUUACCUGGUUUUGACAUGUGCGGAAUCCUCCGGAGACGGAGGAGUGCCUUCGGGAGCCGUAACACAGGUGCUGCAUGGCUGUCGUCAGCUCGUGUCGUGAGAUGUUGGGUUAAGUCCCGCAACGAGCGCAACCCUUGUCAUUAGUUGCCAUCAUUCGGUUGGGCACUCUAAUGAGACUGCCGGUGACAAGCCGGAGGAAGGUGGGGAUGACGUCAAGUCCUCAUGGCCCUUAUGACCAGGGCUUCACACGUCAUACAAUGGUCGGUACAGAGGGUAGCCAAGCCGCGAGGCGGAGCCAAUCUCACAAAACCGAUCGUAGUCCGGAUUGCACUCUGCAACUCGAGUGCAUGAAGUCGGAAUCGCUAGUAAUCGCAGGUCAGCAUACUGCGGUGAAUACGUUCCCGGGUCUUGUACACACCGCCCGUCACACCAUGGGAGUGGGGGAUACCAGAAGUAGGUAGGGUAACCGCAAGGAGCCCGCUUACCACGGUAUGCUUCAUGACUGGGGUGAAGUCGUAACAAGGUAGCCGUAGGGGAACCUGCGGCUGGAUCACCUCCUUUCUAGAG
rnacentral:rRNA from 33 species